GCUCCCAACGGACGCGGUGUGACGUUAAGGGAGGGGGCGGUUGCCGGCGUCUUGAGGGGAACCUAGGGACCGAAAGCACUGUCCGGGAAGGCAGCCACUCCCCCGCCCGCAGCAAACGCUCCCCUUGCCCUUUAUGAUGUUUACAUGGGCGGAGGGAUCCCUCCCAGCUGACAGCGACACCGCGCCGGCCCUUCUUUUUUUAAAGAGCCUAGCCACGGGCGCUGAUUGGCCGGUAGCCGGGCGCGUCAGCCUCCGGGGGCGGGGCCCGGGCCGCAUUGUCUCGUCUAAGGCCGGCUGGACACCCCAGAGGCCGGACCUGGGCAACCCCAGCCUGGAGCGCCAGAUCCUUCGGACACAUCCCUAGGUGUCUCCAUCCUCAUCCGGUCCAUCCAACUCCCAGACCUCACGUCUCCAACCGGCUGCACCCCACUCUCCAGCCUGCGCCCCAGAUCUGCAGCCUUCGCCCCUAGAUACACCCGCCUGCUGAUGAGGCGCUCCUCGCGUUCCUUCCGGGCUCCCGGUGUCGUCCGUGAGCCUCCCUUCCGCCCUGGCCUCCGGUCUCUGCCUUGCUCGUGCUUCUACCAGCACCCUUCCCCUCCCAACCCGGUGGAUCCUCUCGUCUCCCCCAAACUCCAGUGCACCGGCUUUGCCUCGUCCUCUGCGCAGUCCAUCUCAGCUCAUCUCUCCAAUUCAAUGCCAUCAUCUCUCCUCACCAUCUCUCCGUGCCCUGGAAUGUUUGCUGUCGGAUGUCCCCCUGUGAAACCCACAAACGCCUGCGAUUUGGCCUUCUUGUUUUAUUUUGUGUAUUCCUACAACGUCUUGUUACUACCCCCUAUUACAACACUUAUAACUCAGUA